rnacentral:rRNA from 1 species
GAUGAACGCUGGCGGCGUGCCUAAUACAUGCAAGUCGAGCGAACAGACGAGGAGCUUGCUCCUCUGACGUUAGCGGCGGACGGGUGAGUAACACGUGGAUAACCUACCUAUAAGACUGGGAUAACUUCGGGAAACCGGAUCUAAUACCGGAUAAGAUGUUGAACCGCAUGGUUCAACAGUGAAAGACGGUUUUGCUGUCACUUAUAGAUGGUUCCGCGCCGCAUUAGCUAGUUGGUAAGGUAACGGCUUACCAAGGCAACGAUGCGUAGCCGACCUGAGAGGGUGAUCGGCCACACUGGAACUGAGACACGGUCCAGACUCCUACGGGAGGCAGCAGUAGGGAAUCUUAGGCAAUGGGCGAAAGCCUGACGCAGCAACGCCGCGUGAGUGAAGAAGGUCUUCGGAUCGUAAAACUCUGUUAUUAGGGAAGAACAAAUGUGUAAGUAACUAUGCACGUCUUGACGGUACCUAAUCAAAAAGCCACGGCUAACUACGUG